CUAUAAAAGCGUCAAAGCUUUCUCAUAAAUUAAAUUAAUCUCCACAAACCUCCAAAACCCUUAUUUCCUACUGAAUGACUCCAUAUAACUAUGGAAAACCUUCUGCUAGAACUAGUAAUAAGAAGAAGACCUUCUCCCUAAAUGUAAACAUAAACCGGAACGAACAACUCACCGGAACCUACCGCUAAUGAAAAGAUUAUAACAACUUUACAAGAAAAAACUAUUCCACUAAGCGUUAACCUUACACAAGAACAUUUCAGGAAAGAUUAACAAAACGGGAAGGAACUCGGCAAACAACUAACCCCGCCUGUUUACCAAAAACAUCGCCUUGUGAUUAAAUAUACAAGGUCUCGCCUGCCCAGUGAUUCAUUUCAACGGCCGCGGUACCCUAACCGUGCAAAGGUAGCACAAUCACUUGUUCCUUAAAUAGGGACUAGUAUGAAUGGCAUCACGAGGGUUAUUCUGUCUCCCCCUUUUAAUCCAUGAAACUGAUCUCCCCGUGAAGAAGCGAGGAUAUUAAUAUAAGACGAGAAGACCCCAUGGAGCUUUAAACUCAGAAACACCUGCUAUUUUUCAACCAAAUUAACCAAGCUUCCUUGAUUUCUAGUUUUCGGUUGGGGUGACCACGGAGCACAACACAACCUCCUUGAUGAACGGAACUAGCUUCCUUAUUUAAGAACUACAGCUCUAAAAAUCAACACAUUGACAAAAAUUGAUCCAAAUAAUUUGAUCAACGAACCAAGUUACCCUGGGGAUAACAGCGCAAUCCAUUUCAAGAGCCCAUAUCGACAAAUGGGUUUACGACCUCGAUGUUGGAUCAGGGUAUCCCAGUGGUGCAACCGCUACUAAAGGUUCGUUUGUUCAACGAUUAAAACC
rnacentral:rRNA from 1 species